rnacentral:rRNA from 1 species
UACGGAAGGUGCAAGCGUUAAUCGGAAUCACUGGGCGUAAAGCGCACGUAGGCCGUCUCGUAAGUCGGGCGUGAAAGCCCUCGGCUCAACCGGGGAACUGCGCUCGAUACUGCGAGACUUGAGUCCUGGAGAGGGUGGCGGAAUUCCCGGUGUAGGAGUGAAAUCCGUAGAUAUCGGGAGGAACACCAGUGGCGAAGGCGGCCACCUGGACAGGUACUGACGCUGAGGUGCGAAAGCGUGGGGAU